AGGCACGUAGCUCAGUGGGAGAGCGCUACCCCGACACGGUAGAAGUCGUUGGUUCAAGUCCAAUCGUGCCUA
rnacentral:tRNA from 1 species